rnacentral:rRNA from 1 species
GACGAACGCUGGCGGCGUGCUUAACACAUGCAAGUCGAACGGAAAGGCCCUGCUUUUGUGGGGUGCUCGAGUGGCGAACGGGUGAGUAACACGUGAGUAACCUGCCCUUGACUUUGGGAUAACUUCAGGAAACUGGGGCUAAUACCGGAUAGGAGCUCCUGCUGCAUGGUGGGGGUUGGAAAGUUUCGGCGGUUGGGGAUGGACUCGCGGCUUAUCAGCUUGUUGGUGGGGUAGUGGCUUACCAAGGCUUUGACGGGUAGCCGGCCUGAGAGGGUGACCGGCCACAUUGGGACUGAGAUACGGCCCAGACUCCUACGGGAGGCAGCAGUGGGGAAUAUUGCACAAUGGGCGGAAGCCUGAUGCAGCAACGCCGCGUGCGGGAUGACGGCCUUCGGGCUGUAAACCGCUUUCGCCUGUGACGAAGCGUGAGUGACAGUAAUGGGUAAAGAAGCACCGGCUAACUACGUG